rnacentral:rRNA from 1 species
UGGGGAAUAUUGGACAAUGGGGGCAACCCUGAUCCAGCCAUGCCGCGUGUGUGAAGAAGGCCUUUUGGUUGUAAAGCACUUUAAGCGAGGAGGAGGCUUUGUUUGUUAAUACCUUACAAAGUGGACGUUACUCGCAGAAUAAGCACCGGCUAACUCUGUGCCAGCAGCCGCGGUAAUACAGAGGGUGCGAGCGUUAAUCGGAAUUACUGGGCGUAAAGCGCGCGUAGGCGGUUCGUUAAGUCGGAUGUGAAAUCCCCGAGCUCAACUUGGGAAUGGCAUACGAUACUGGCGAGCUAGAGUAUGGGAGAGGAAGGUAGAAUUCCAGGUGUAGCGGUGAAAUGCGUAGAGAUCUGGAGGAAUACCGAUGGCGAAGGCAGCCUUCUGGCCUAAUACUGACGCU